rnacentral:tRNA from 1 species
GGGCGCUUAGCUCAGUUGGUUAGAGCGCGUGCUUCACACGCACGAGGUCAGAGGUUCGAGUCCUCUAGCGCCCACCA